UACGGAGGGUGCAAGCGUUAUCCGGAAUCACUGGGUUUAAAGGGUGCGUAGGCGGUGGCGUAAGUCAGGUGUGAAAUUCCCCGGCUUAACCGGCGGGACUGCGAUUGAUACUGCGUUACUUGAAUCAGGUUGAGGUAGGCGGAAUGUGAGAUGUAGCGGUGAAAUGCUUAGAUAUGUCAUAGAACACCGAUUGCGAAGGCAGCUUGCUGGACCUGUAUUGACGCUGAGGCACGAAAGCGUGGGGAGCAAACAGG
rnacentral:rRNA from 1 species